rnacentral:lncRNA from 1 species
CUCCUCUUCUCCAGGCUGAAUAACCCCAUUGUCGCCCUUCUCUGGACCCGCUCCAGCACCUCAAUGUCUUUUUUAUGGUAGGGGGCCCAAAACUGGACACAGUUGCAGCCAACGUGCACUGACAAAGCGAUGCAGUGGCUAACGCCUGACGGGCCCUACUGGAACCUGCCCACUUCUGCCCACGGGGUCCCUCAGCCGAGGCGCCGAAAUGAGGAAGAUGAAGCCCUGGUGCGCUAGUGACUUUCCAUGGACACAUGUGAAGCUGAUGAACUGUGGAGCUUUUUUAGUUUGUAGGAGGGAAACUGAGGCACGUGCUCGCUGCGCAUCCGGCAAAAGCAUGUCGAUAACCAGUAAUGAGAGAGGAGUGCUCCGUCUGUUCAGACUAUUCAGCUCUUUGCACGGCUGCCCACGUGGCCAGGUAGUUGCCAUUAAAUAAGAUGAUUAAUUCCUCGACAAGUUGCUAUCUGGCCUAGCAGUCCAGCAUUUCCUUUUGGCAUCUGUGGCUGCUUUGAGGAAUGCAGCUUUAUAGAUUUUUACUAAUUAUCUAAUAGCUUUUCAAUCUCUUGUUUCAGUACGUGGAACUGGUGUUAAUUAAUUGCAGAUCUUCAGCAUACCAUUCUUAACUGAUUCCCCUAGUAAAUAUGUUUAACACUUGCCUUGGUUUCCUGUACAUGAUUCAUUCGGUUGGUAAGUGAUCCAUCUUUGUUUGCUGUCAAAGUCUUUGAGUUGGAAGAGGACUUUAAUCAUGUUACUUGGCUUUUCUGAAUAGGGAGAAGAAAUGGAGUCAAAUAAGCACGCAAUGGCAAUGCAGUUAAAAAAGAACCAUGGCCUGGGUUUCUUCCACCAAUAAAAAGUUGUGCAAGCUUCA